GAAAUGCGAUAAGUAAUGUGAAUUGCAGAAUUCAGUGAAUCAUCGAAUCUUUGAACGCACAUUGCGCCCGCCAGUAUUCUGGCGGGCAUGCCUGUCCGAGCGUCAUUUCAACCAUCAAGCCCCCGGGCUUGUGUUGGGGGCCUGCGGCUGCCCGCAGGCCCUGAAAACCAGUGGCGGGCUCGCUGUCACACCGAGCGUAGUAGCAAUCACCUCGCUCAGGGCGUGCUGCGGGUUCCGGCCGUUAAACAGCCUUACAAAACCCAAGGUUGACCUCGGAUCAGGUAGGAAGACCCGCUGAACUUAAGC
rnacentral:misc_RNA from 1 species